CGCCCAUGCCUCCAACUAGAGUUUGAUCCUGGCUCAGAUUGAACGCUGGCGGCAUGCCUAACACAUGCAAGUCGAACGGCAGCGGUACCUAGCUUGCUAGGUAGCCGGCGAGUGGCGAACGGGUGAGUAACGCGUAGGAAUAUACCUUAAAGAGGGGGAUAACCUGGGGAAACUCAGGCUAAUACCGCGUAAGUUCUGAGGAAGAAAGCUGGGGACCGAAAGGCCUGGCGCUUUAAGAAUAGCCUGCGUCCGAUUAGCUAGUUGGUGGGGUAAAGGCCUACCAAGGCGACGAUCGGUAGCUGGCCUGAGAGGAUGAACAGCCACACUGGGACUGAGACACGGCCAGACUCCUACGGGAGGCAGCAGUGGGGAAUAUUGGACAAUGGGGGCAACCCUGAUCCAGCAAUGCCGCGUGUGUGAAGAAGGCCUGAGGGUUGUAAAGCACUUUCAGUGGGGAGGAGGAUAGCAUGGUUAAGAGCUGAGCUAUUGGACGUUACCUACAGAAGAAGCACCGGCUAACUCCGUGCCAGCAGCCGCGGUAAUACGGAGGGUGCGAGCGUUAAUCGGAAUUACUGGGCGUAAAGGGUGCGUAGGUGGUUAAAUAAGUUAGAUGUAAAAACCCUGGGCUUAACCUAGGACUGAGAUUUAAUACUGUUUAACUAGAGUAUGGGAGAGGGUAGUGGAAUUUCCGGUGUAGCGGUGAAAUGCGUAGAGAUCGGAAGGAACACCAGUGGCGAAAGCGGCUACCUGGCCUAAUACUGACACUGAGGCACGAAAGCGUGGGGAGCAAACAGGAUUAGAUACCCUGGUAGUCCACGCUGUAAACGAUGUCAACUAGCCGUUGGGUCAUAUAGAGAUGAAAAGUGGCGCACAAACGCGAUAAGUUGACCGCCUGCGGAGUACGGUCCGCAGAAUAAAAUACAAAGGAAUUGACGGGGGGCCCGCACCAACCGGUGGUAGCAUU
rnacentral:rRNA from 1 species